UCCCUCAUAGCUGAGUUGGUAAAGAACCUGCCUGCAAUGCAGGAGAAUUGGGUUUGAUUCCUGGGUCGGGAA
rnacentral:tRNA from 1 species